rnacentral:lncRNA from 1 species
GUGUAAUGCGUGGGUCUUCGACUAGUUAUUCUAUCGUACAAAAGAAAAAGUGCAAAGAAAUCUAAAACUAAAAUUAGAAUGAAAAAUGACUUAAAUCUAGAUAAGUUCUCUAGAAUUUGGGGAAGUGGGAAGAGUACAUCAACAACCAGUUACGUUUUAGAUUUUUCAUAAACAACAAUUUUAGUUCUUUUUGGAGAAACAUUUGUCAAGCAUUUCAUAUUUUGUGCCCCCUCUUUUCAAGCGAUUAAUUUUUCUUUUUCUUUUAUUCCAGCUC